AAAUUGAAGAGUUUGAUCAUGGCUCAGAUUGAACGCUGGCGGCAGGCCUAACACAUGCAAGUCGAACGGUAGCACAGAGAGCUUGCUCUCGGGUGACGAGUGGCGGACGGGUGAGUAAUGUCUGGGAAACUGCCCGAUGGAGGGGGAUAACUACUGGAAACGGUAGCUAAUACCGCAUAACGUCGCAAGACCAAAGUGGGGGACCUUCGGGCCUCACACCAUCGGAUGUGCCCAGAUGGGAUUAGCUAGUAGGUGGGGUAACGGCUCACCUAGGCGACGAUCCCUAGCUGGUCUGAGAGGAUGACCAGCCACACUGGAACUGAGACACGGUCCAGACUCCUACGGGAGGCAGCAGUGGGGAAUAUUGCACAAUGGGCGCAAGCCUGAUGCAGCCAUGCCGCGUGUAUGAAGAAGGCCUUCGGGUUGUAAAGUACUUUCAGCGAGGAGGAAGGCGUUGUGGUUAAUAACCACAGCGAUUGACGUUACUCGCAGAAGAAGCACCGGCUA
rnacentral:rRNA from 1 species